UACGUAGGGGGCUAGCGUUGCUCGGAAUCACUGGGCGUAAAGCGCACGUAGGCGGCUUUCUAAGUCAGGGGUGAAAUCCUGGAGCUCAACUCCAGAACUGCCUUUGAUACUGGAGAGCUUGAGUCCGGAAGAGGUGAGUGGAACUCCGAGUGUAGAGGUGAAAUUCGUAGAUAUUCGGAAGAACACCAGUGGCGAAGGCGGCUCACUGGUCCGGUACUGACGCUGAUGUGCGAAAGCGUGGGGAGCAAACAGG
rnacentral:rRNA from 1 species